rnacentral:lncRNA from 1 species
UUUGUCACAACUGUGGGACUCAUCUGGAAAACAAGAAAUGCCAUUCGAUUUGAAGGGACAGUAUACUUGGAGGAGCAACUUUGCAAGGAAAUUGCUCUACUCAUUCACAUUCGUGGAAGGAACAACAAAAGGUGGCUGAAGGGAUUGCGACAAAAUAACCAUUAUCCUUAGAUCAAUCCGAGAAUUGCCUAUCACUUGUAAUGUACUGCGUAAUGAUAAGGAUUGUAUAGGGUAGUUGAACUGAGCAGCAGUUUAGUCCAGUAAACUGCUGAGAGCUUAUAUGUGUACUG